rnacentral:tRNA from 1 species
GCCCUGGUGGUGCAACAGUAAGCGCUUGGCUGCUAACUAACAGGUUGGUGGUUCAAACCCACCCAGGGGCU